UGCCAGCAGCCGCGGUAAUACGGAGGGGGCAAGCGUUGUUCGGAUUUAUUGGGCGUAAAGGGUGCGUAGGCGGUCCGGUAAGUCAUCCGUAAAAUCCCUCGGCUCAACCGAGGAACUGCGGAUGAUACUGCCGGGCUUGAGUCCCGGAGAGGGUGGCGGAAUUCCCAGUGUAGCGGUGAAAUGCGUAGAUACUGGGAGGAACACCGGUGGCGAAGGCGGCCACCUGGACGGGUACUGACGCUGAGGCGCGAAAGCAUGGGGAGCAAACAGGAUUAGAUA
rnacentral:rRNA from 1 species